UACGUAGGGGGCAAGCGUUGUCCGGAUUUAUUGGGCGUAAAGAGCGUGUAGGCGGCCAGGUAGGUCGGCUGUGAAAACUCGAGGCUCAACCUCGAGCUGUCGGCCGAAACCAUCUGGCUAGAGUCCGGAAGAGGAGAAUGGAAUUCCCGGUGUAGCGGUGAAAUGCGCAGAUAUCGGGAAGAACACCCGUGGCGAAGGCGGUUCUCUGGGACGGUACUGACGCUGAGACGCGAAAGCGUGGGGAGCGAACGGG
rnacentral:rRNA from 1 species